CAAGACACCUAAUUGUCAGAUUCACCAAAGUUGAAAUGAAGGAAAAAAUGUUAAGGGCAGCCAGAGAGAAAGGUCGGGUUACCCACAAAGGGAAGCUCAUCAGACUAACAGCAGAUCUCUUGCCAAACUCUACAAGCCAGAAGAGAGUGGGGGCCAAUAUUCAACAUCCUUAAAGAAAAGAAUUUUCAACACAGAAUUUCAUAUCCAGCCAAACUAAGCUUCAUAAGUGAAGGAGCGCUGCUCUGUUUGAGUGCAACAUGGGCCUCUCAAUUUCCCACUGCAAAAAAACAGUGUUGGAUGCAACCUUUCAUAAGGAUUUAGAGAUAGUUUGCAGAUCACAGAAAAUAAGAACAGAGCACAGAAAAACUUAAAAAAAAAAACCCCCACUGUGCCUAUGCUUAGAACUCAAUUUCAUUCAUUCCGCAAAUAUUUAUUGAGCACUGACCACAUACUAGGGAGCUUUUCUAGGUGUGGUGA
rnacentral:lncRNA from 10 species